UCCUAUCAGCAUUUGGUUAAGCAGCGUUACCAAUCAGAGUACUGUACCAGGGACACACAAAAAUUGGGAUUCUUUUGCCAUCUUCUACUCAUUUUAAAGUUAAAUCUAAAUGCUGGUGUUGUAAUUUCCUCUCCCAUAAGAGGCAAUAGUUCUGCUCUGACAAGCUUAAGUAACAAGUCCUGUUUGUUCUCAUGCAGAGGUGGACAUGUUCUAGAUCACAUUAACAUCUCUACUCUGCUGAAUUUAUGGCCCGAAUGGACACGGGAGUUUCAUUGCAAACGAGAGUCUUCUAGUCCGAAAAGAUCAAAGCCCACGAGGGACAAGAAGAAGAUGCUGACUGUUUUUAUUCUAAAGAAGGAGAUACGAUGCCUUGGGACUAUAUGUCCCAGAAUUCCCAGGCAGUUGCAGUUCCCAAAUACCUGGAGGUUUCUGGUUGAGAAGUGUUGAUUUAAACUUAGGACAAGCCAAACAAUAAGUCUUCUCUUCUCUGUGUGAUGGAAACUAACAUUCUACUCUACUAAUUAUGCAAAUUUAA